AAGCUCGUAGUUGAAUUUCGGGGUUAGUAGGUUGGUCAUGCCUCUGGUAUGUACUGGUCUCACUGAUUCCUCCUUCCUGAUGAACCGUAAUGCCAUUAAUUUGGUGUUGCGGGGAAUUUGGACCGUUACUUUGAAAAAAUUAGAGUGUUUAAAGCAAGCUAACGCUUGAAUACAUUAGCAUGGAAUAAUGAAAUAGGACGUUCGAUCCUAUUUUGUUGGUUUCUAGGAUUGACGUAAUGAUUAAUAGGGAUAGUUGGG
rnacentral:rRNA from 1 species